CCAAUCGCGUAUAUUAAAGUUGUUGCAGUUAAAAAGCUCGUAGUUGAAUUUCGGGAUUGACGUGAUGGUCAUGCCUUAAGGGGUAUGAACUGUCACUGUUGAUUUCUCACCUUCUGGAGAAACUUGAUGUCCUUUAUUGGGUGUCUUGCGGAUCCAGGACCUUUACCUUGAAAAAAUUAGAGUGUUUAAAGCAGGCAUUUUUGCUCGAAUACAUUAGCAUGGAAUAAUAGAAUAGGACGGCAUGGUUCUAUUUUGUUGGUUUCUAGGAUCACCGUAAUGAUUAAUAGGGAUAGUUGGGGGCAUUAGUAUUCAAUUGUCAGAGGUGAAAUUCUUGGAUUUAUUGAAGACUAACUACUGCGAAAGCAUUUGCCAAGGAUGUUUUCAUUAAUCAAGAACGAAAGUUAGGGGAUCGAAGACGAUCAGAUACCGUCGUAGUCUUAACCAUAAACUAUGCCGACUAGGAAUCAGACGAUGUUAAUUUUUUAAUGACUCGUUUGGCACCUUACG
rnacentral:rRNA from 1 species